rnacentral:rRNA from 1 species
CUCUUCGGGGAUGAUUAAACCGGCGCACGGGUGAGUAACACGUGAGUGACCUGCCUUUUAGACUGGAACAACUUACCGAAAGGUGAGCUAAUGCCGGAUGAGUUAUAUAAGUGCAUGUUUAUAUAGGAAAAGUUGGGGAGACCUGACGCUGAAAGAUGGACUCGCGUCCCAUUAGCUAGAUGGUAGGGUAAUGGCCUACCAAGGCGACGAUGGGUAGCCGGCCUGAGAGGGUGGCCGGCCACACUGGGACUGAGACACGACCCAGACUCCUACGGGAGGCAGCAGUGGGGAAUUUUGCGCAAUGCUCGUAAGAGUGACGCAGCGACGCCGCGUGAAUGACGAAGGCCUUCGGGUCGUAAAGUUCUUUCGACAGGGAAGAAAAUGCCUAUAAGUAACUGUGUAUGUAUUGACGGUACCUGUAUAAGCAGCCCCGGCUAACUCCGUGCCAGCAGCCGCGGUAAUACGGAGGGGGCGAGCGUUGUUCGGAGUGACUGGGCGUAAAGAGCACGUGGGCGGUGUUGUAAGUCAUUAGUCAAAGACUAGAGCUCAACUUUAGUAAGGCUAGUGAUACUAUAAUACUAGAGUAUCAGAGAGGAUUGCAGAAUUCCUGGUGUAGCGGUGAAAUGCGUAGAUAUCAGGAGGAAUACCGUUAGCGAAGGCGGCAAUCUGGCUGGAAACUGACGCUGAGGUGCGAAAGCGUGGGUAGCAAACAGGAUUAGAUACCCUGGUAGUCCACGCUGUAAACGAUGGAUGCUAGGUGUUGGGCUUUUAAGUUCAGUGCCGCA